GGGCCUGUAGCUUAGCUGGUAGAGCGCAUCGUUUGCAUCGAUGAGGUCAGGGGUUCGAAUCCCCUCGGGUCCA
rnacentral:tRNA from 1 species